GCCUGUUUGGCCAAGUGGCUAAGGCGUCUCACUCGUAAUGAGAAGAGCACCAGUUCGACUCUGGUAAUAGGCA
rnacentral:tRNA from 5 species